GCGGGUAUCGUAUAGUGGCUAUUAUCCCUGCCUUCCAAGCAGGGGAGACGGGUUCGAGUCCCGUUACCCGCU
rnacentral:tRNA from 1 species